rnacentral:rRNA from 1 species
AGUGAACGCUGGCGGUAGGCCUAACACAUGCAAGUCGAACGGCAGCACAGUAAGAGCUUGCUCUUACGGGUGGCGAGUGGCGGACGGGUGAGGAAUACAUCGGAAUCUACUUUUUCGUGGGGGAUAACGUAGGGAAACUUACGCUAAUACCGCAUACGACCUACGGGUGAAAGCAGGGGAUCUUCGGACCUUGCGCGAUUGAAUGAGCCGAUGUCGGAUUAGCUAGUUGGCGGGGUAAAGGCCCACCAAGGCGACGAUCCGUAGCUGGUCUGAGAGGAUGAUCAGCCACACUGGAACUGAGACACGGUCCAGACUCCUACGGGAGGCAGCAGUGGGGAAUAUUAGACAAUGGGCGCAAGCCUGAUCCAGCCAUACCGCGUGGGUGAAGAAGGCCUUCGGGUUGUAAAGCCCUUCUGUUGGGAAAGAAAAGCAGCAGGUUAAUACCCCGCUGUUCUGACGGUACCCAAAGAAUAAGCACCGGCUAACUUCGUG